AGAGUUUGAUCCUGGCUCAGGAUGAACGCUAGCGGCAGGCUUAACACAUGCAAGUCGAGGGGCAGCGAGAUCAGUGCUUGCACUGAUUGUCGGCGACCGGCGCACGGGUGCGUAACGCGUAUGCAACCUACCCAUUACAGGGGGAUAACACUGAGAAAUCGGUACUAAUACCCCAUAACAUCCAGGGAGGCAUCUUCUUGGGUUGAAAACUCCGGUGGUAAUGGAUGGGCAUGCGUUGUAUUAGUUGGUUGGUGGGGUAACGGCUCACCAAGACGACGAUACAUAGGGGGACUGAGAGGUUAACCCCCCACAUUGGUACUGAGACACGGACCAAACUCCUACGGGAGGCAGCAGUGAGGAAUCUUCCACAAUGGACGAAAGUCUGAUGGAGCAACGCCGCGUGAGUGAAGAAGGGUUUCGGCUCGUAAAGCUCUGUUGGUAGUGAAGAAAGAUAGAGGUAGUAACUGGCCUUUAUUUGACGGUAAUUACUUAGAAAGUCACGGCUAACUACGUGCCAGCAGCCGCGGUAAUACGUAGGUGGCAAGCGUUGUCCGGAUUUAUUGGGCGUAAAGCGAGUGCAGGCGGUUCAAUAAGUCUGAUGUGAAAGCCUUCGGCUCAACCGGAGAAUUGCAUCAGAAACUGUUGAACUUGAGUGCAGAAGAGGAGAGUGGAACUCCAUGUGUAGCGGUGGAAUGCGUAGAUAUAUGGAAGAACACCAGUGGCGAAGGCGGCUCUCUGGUCUGCAACUGACGCUGAGGCUCGAAAGCAUGGGUAGCGAACAGGAUUAGAUACCCUGGUAGUCCAUGCCGUAAACGAUGAGUGCUAAGUGUUGGGAGGUUUCCGCCUCUCAGUGCUGCAGCUAACGCAUUAAGCACUCCGCCUGGGGAGUACGACCGCAAGGUUGAAACUCAAAGGAAUUGACGGGGGCCCGCACAAGCGGUGGAGCAUGUGGUUUAAUUCGAAGCAACGCGAAGAACCUUACCAGGUCUUGACAUCCAGUGCAAACCUAAGAGAUUAGGUGUUCCCUUCGGGGACGCUGAGACAGGUGGUGCAUGGCUGUCGUCAGCUCGUGUCGUGAGAUGUUGGGUUAAGCCCCGCAACGAGCGCAACCCCUAUCUUCAGUAGCCAGCAUUUGAGGUGGGCACUCUGGAGAGACUGCCAGGGACAACCUGGAGGAAGGUGGGGACGACGUCAAAUCAUCAUGCCCCUUAUGGGCAGGGCUACACACGUGCUACAAUGGCGUAAACAAAGGGAGGCGAAGCCGCGAGGCCGAGCAAAUCCCAAAAAUAACGUCCCAGUUCGGAUUGCAGUCUGCAACUCGACUGCAUGAAGCUGGAAUCGCUAGUAAUCGCGAAUCAGAAUGUCGCGGUGAAUACGUUCCCGGGUCUUGCACUCACCGCCCGUCA
rnacentral:rRNA from 1 species